rnacentral:rRNA from 1 species
UACGGAGGAUGCAAGCGUUAUCCGGAAUGAUUGGGCGUAAAGCGUCCGCAGGUGGCUGUGUAAGUCUGCUGUCAAAGAGCGAAGCUCAACUUCGUAAAGGCAGUGGAAACUACACGGCUAGAGUGCGUUCGGGGCAGAGGGAAUUCCUGGUGUAGCGGUGAAAUGCGUAGAGAUCAGGAAGAACACCGGUGGCGAAGGCGCUCUGCUAGGCCGCAACUGACACUGAGGGUCGAAAGCUAGGGGAGCGAAUGGG